UACGUAGGGGCAAGCGUUGUCCGGAUUCAUUGGGCGUAAAGAGCGUGUAGGCGGCCAGGUAGGUCGGUUGUGAAAACUGGAGGCUCAACCUUCAGAGGUCGACCGAAACCAUCUGGCUAGAGUCCGGAGAGGAGAGUGGAAUUCCUGGUGUAGCGGUGAAAUGCGCAGAUAUCAGGAAGAACACCAAUGGCGAAAGCAGCUCUCUGGGACGGUACUGACGCUGAGACGCGAAAGCGUGGGGGAGCGAAACAGG
rnacentral:rRNA from 1 species